CAAAGGAUGUGCACGAGUCAUCUUGUGCAUCUGCAUCUAGCUUGAAUGUCUGUUGAUUAUGAUCUACAAAUGACAUGGCAGGAAGACCCUCUGACAACAUACCACCCCUCUGCACACCAUCGUGCCUGUCACCACUGGCAUCAUCAAGCUCAUCCUCAUCCUCAGAAUCUUCAUAGAACUCCCCCUCUGUAGGAACUCGAUUGCAUGUGACAUCAUCUUGAUCGGUAAGGGACUCAGUUGGCAAGUAUUCAUCAGUUCGUCCUGUGACUGCGAACUCACCAUCACCACUUGCUUGCCAUUCAUCAUCAUCACUGUCAACAUUCAUCGGAUCAAACCUGUUCUGCUCAGCCCUCUUCCUCAACAUGAAGACAUUGAAGUAGUAGCUCACUAGUUCUUUGCUGGACUUGGAUGGGAAGGCAAGAGGGAGUUCAUCCCAAAAGUUUCUGCGCAGAGAAGCAGGAUUUGACGAGACCACUUCCUGGAACAGAUGUUCCUCCUCUUCAGUCCAUCUUGAGGCAACCUCCUCUCCCAUGUCAAAGAACCCCAACUCCCUAAAGGUGUCUGUACCAACGGAAACCUUCAGCUUCCCUCUUGCUUCCCUCACAUGCUUCCUCACACAAUUGAUUGAAUCUUCAUCAAGACAAUCACAGCCUGCCUUGCAGUGAACAGGUUUCAGCAUUAAAGACAAUAAAUCAGUAUCAGGCAUUGGCAUGACACUGUUUCUGAUCCACUUGUUACUCUCAUCGUCUUCUGUUCUUCCACCAAAUGGCCUACACUCAGGUAAUUCAGCCUGAUGAUUUGGCCCAAUAGGAACAGGUUUCCUUGUGGGGCAAGGACCCACAGAUUGAUGAAAGCUGGCAGGCCAUAUAUCAUCUUCGACAUAUGUAUGAGCAAGUGGAAAAUGCACAGGGGAA
rnacentral:lncRNA from 1 species